AAGGGCACCACAAGAACGCGUGGAGCAUGUGGCUUAAUUUGACUCAACGCGGGAAAACUUACCGGGUCCGGACACACUGAGGAUUGACAGGUGACCAAUAUUGUAAAUAUGCUAGUCCUUUCAUGAUUGUGUGAUAGGUGGUGCAUGGCCGUUCUUAGUUCGUGGAGUGAUCUGUCUGCUUAAUUGCGUUUCAGAUAUUGGAGUUAUAUGGGUAGGCUGUUAGUGUCCCCGUAACAAGGGACCUUUCUGGCUGAGCCCGGCUCCUUGAAAGCAACGAACGUGACCGCAGCCCUUUGUUGGGAGUCCACCGCUUCGGCGUUGCUGUUGACUCCCUAACUAAGGGGACCGCCAGGUUUUUUAAAACCGGAGGAAGGUUGCGGCAAUAACAGGUCUGUGAUGCCCUUAGAUGUUCCGGGCUGCACACGUGCUACAAUGAUUGUUACAGAAAGUAUCUACUACUGAUUGUUCUCGAAGACUUCGGUCGGAAAGGACCACGGAUGGACUCUAGGCUACUGCGGCUUCGGUCGUAGCUGUGUCUUUUGCCUCCACCGUGAAACCUGCCUCGAAAGUCCGGUAGGCAAUCAAUUCCAAGUGACAAUCUCCCCUGCACAAAUCAAAUGCCACUGCGGAAGGACCUUAGUGUCCGGAAGCAGUUGACAUGUGCUCUAUAAAUUCGUGGUCGGGACAGACCAUUGCUAAUUGUUGGUCUCGGUCUCAACUAGGAAUGCCUUGUACGGGUCUUUGGUUCAACAAACCACCCGGAAUACGUCCCUGCCCUUUGUACACACCGCCCGUCGCUCUUACCGAUGGACUUCGCUGUGAGUUUGAGGGACUGGCGUCCACUCCUCGUGAGUGCGAUGCUAUGGAAACUCAAACGAACAGUGUGGUCUAAAGGAAAGAGAAGUCGUAACAAGGCAUCGGUAGGUGAACCUGCAGAAGGAUCA
rnacentral:rRNA from 1 species